AAGCCCCCGAGAAAUGAACAGAACAGAGUGGUUAGGUGAAGAAGAAGAAGAAGAAGAAGAGUGAAAAACUCUCCAAAUGUUCCGUGCCUUUUACCUUCAUCUUCUUGUUCUUUCAGCCCUGCCGCUACAGUCUCUUCUGCGUUUGAUCGUCAAUCGUCGUUUAUUGAGGCAUGGAUUCAGUCAGUGGUGUAGGUGGAAAUUUUUGUGGCAAUAUUUUGUUUGCCCAAGAGAAUUGGACACUGGGAAAUGCAGAAACUCUAUUUCAUUAAAACAUAUGGCAUGUCAGGUUUUUGGCUUCUUAGGAGGCCAGAAGUAAUUUCCAUUUUUCUGUGCAAAGUUUGCUUCGUUUCCCAUCCUUGAAAGUUUAAAUUCUGUCUUUUCAACAUCACAUCAUCCAAUUACCCUUGCAGGGAGCUGAUGUUGAUAGAAAUGCUUGAUUUCUGGCAGAAGCGAUUGUUAACGGAUCCUGUGAACAUAAAUAGCUUAUUUCCAUUGGAAGACAUGCUAGAGGAUCUGGAGUUCAGGACAUGGAUGCACAAUGAGUAGUUUGACAUACGUUUUAUGUGCAAACUUAUAUAAUCCUUGGGAGAUGAUAACAGAAUUACAGUAAAAAAGUUUCAUUUGGAAGUCUUUCACAUUCUUAUUCUGGCAAUGGCUGAUCUUUGUGCAGGUAUUCUCUCUCAGCUGUUGUAACUUUAAAGACCGAGGCAAAAAACGGGUCGAAGAUAACUAAAACUCGCCAGACUCCUAUAGAGCUGGAAUGAACCCGGAACUCGUAAAUUGUAUGUGAGUUAUUUUUGUUGGAAUUGUUUUACUUAGCUUUUUGAACAUUCUGAACUAGAAAUGCCCAGAAAUCCUCAAGCCCUUUAGUGAUACAGCAUGUGGCAAGAUAGAUAGCAAGUUUUGUGCAACCAUGAAAAUUGUUUCUUUUUAACCAUCAUUCUCUGCUGUGUUUGAACUGUGAAUUUCUUGUAGACAUAGCAAGUAAUGGUUGGUGAGGCCUGUCAUUUUCUUUGUC